AUGUGUGUUUUUAUAGAACGAAGAGGAGACAGGGCUUUUUGUCUUAACUUUGAGACCCAGAGGUCGGGAUGCGAUGGACUUUCUCCUUCUCUCCUAUUCCAUUUCAGGACAGUUGGCUUCUUGCAAAAGGAUCUCUGUUCUUCCGAAAGCCCACAGAGCUUCUCGGGAUCUGUUUUCUGCGAAAUCAGGGGCGUGGCGCACACAAAUCAAAUCAAAACAGAAAUCAUCAUGCCCUGUUAUGGAUCUCAGACACAGUUUCUUUUAAUAAAAUAUGCAAAUACUUUGCAGUAAAUUGAUUUCCCAGUUUCAUUCUCUUAUCUACAUAUUUAUUAUUCAUGCCUCCUCCACUCCUCCUUGAAGCAGAGAAGUGUGUGUGGGGGGGGAUGGGACAGAUCUCAAAGGCUGAAUUUCCUUGCUUUCUUACUUAGUUAAACUGGCACAAAAUGUUAUGUUUCCAGGAAUUAAAGAUACCUGUAAAAAUCACUUUCUGUCUCAAGUGGACUAAGGACAGAAGGCAAGAACGUUCUCCUUGAUUUUAUUCUGUGCACUGAAUAUCCUAGACAGCACGACGUGUCUUGGUGAAGGAAACUGAUGAAGAUUUAAGCUAGAGUUUCUUGUACUUUUUCCAGCUGUGACUAUUUUUUUUAACACAAGAAAUUUAACGUUGGGGUCAGUGAGAUGGGUCAGAGUGUAAAAGCACCUGCUAUAAAGCCUGAUGACUGACAUCUGAUCCCUGGGACCCACAGUGGAAAGACAGACCUCACUGUGGAUGCGUCUACCCUGCCGCUGCUACUGCCACCACCACCGCCGCCCCCGCCACCACCACCACCACCACCACCAUCCUCAGCUGACACAGGAACUCCACUUCCUCAGCCUUCCACUAUAGAAGACCAGGGGCUCUCGAGGAACUCACCAGGCCUCCAAUACCAGAUAAGAACUGCUGGGGCAUCCAGCCUCGAGGACAGAACAAC
rnacentral:lncRNA from 1 species